rnacentral:rRNA from 1 species
CACGGUAAACGAUGGAUGCCCGCUGUUUGCGAUAUACUGUGAGCGGCCAAGAGAAAUCGUUAAGCAUCCCACCUGGGGAGUACGCCGGCAACGGUGAAACUCAAAGGAAUUGACGGGGGCCCGCACAAGCGGAGGAACAUGUGGUUUAAUUCGAUGAUACGCGAGGAACCUUACCCGGGCUUGAACUGCAGGCGAACGAUACAGAGAUGUUGAGGCCCUUCGGGGCGCCUGUGGAGGUGCUGCAUGGUUGUCGUCAGCUCGUGCCGUGAGGUGUCGGCUUAAGUGCCAUAACGAGCGCAACCCUUUUCAUUAGUUGCCAUCAGGUAAUGCUGGGCACUCUGGUGAUACUGCCACCGUAAGGUGUGAGGAAGGUGGGGAUGACGUCAAAUCAGCACGGCCCUUACGUCCGGGGCUACACACGUGUUACAAUGGGAGGUACAGAGAGUCGGAUGUACGCAAGUACAUUCUAAUCCUAAAAGCCUUCCUCAGUUCGGAUUGGGGUCUGCAACCCGACC